GACGUAGGGCGCGAGCGUUGUCCGGAUUUAUUGGGCGUAAAGAGCUCGUAGGCGGCUUGUCGCGUCGACUGUGAAAACCCGUGGCUCAACCAUGUGGUCUGCAGUCGAUACGGGCAGGCUAGAAUUCGGUAGGGGAGACUGGAAUUCCUGGUGUAGCGGUGAAAUGCGCAGAUAUCAGGAGGAACACCGGUGGCGAGGGCGGGUCUCUGGGCCGAUAUUGACGCUGAGGAGCGAAAGCGUGGGGAGCGAGCAGG
rnacentral:rRNA from 1 species